UCGAAAUCAAAGUUCGAACCCAAUGGCUGU
rnacentral:piRNA from 1 species